AUGAUGGACUAUAGGACAGGACUGCUGCUUUUAACUAUCUGCUGGGCAGGUGUUGAUGGUCAGACUCUGACAGAAUCUGAACCAGUGAUUAAAAGGCCUGGAGAAUCUCACAGAUUGACCUGUACAGCCUCUGGAUUCACAUUCAGUGACUACUGGAUGCAGUGGGCUCGACAGGCUCCUGGAAAAGGACUUGAGUGGAUUGCCAUCAUUAGUAGUGGUAGUGGUAGCAGCAAAUCCUACUCUCAGUCAGUUCAAGGCCGGUUUACCAUCUCCAGAGACAACAGCAGACAGCAGCUGUAUCUGCAGAUGAACAGUCUGAAGACUGAAGAUUCUGCUGUUUAUUAUUGUGCUCGAGACUCACAGUGA